AUUUUAGUGAAAUCUUGACAUUUCUAUGGAGGAUUCACAAGAUGUCUGUGAUCACAUUGAUAGGUUAUGGUCAACUACGUUUACGACUGAAUUGUACCGAAUAGUGGUAGUUUUUCUAGCAAUUGACGCUUAAUUGCUUCAAGAAUAUCGUGAUGGAGCCUGGAGGAUGCAAGCGAGGAUCAAAGAACGCCAACAACACCAGAUUCUUUUAAAAUGCAGCACCCAUCCUGGGUAAUAAUCUAUAUAAUUUUUGAGUCAGCAUGAGGAAGCUGCAUCACGAAGGACAGUUUGUCAAAUGCAAAGUACUUGGCAUUGGCCGUUCUAGGACGGGGGGCUGUUCAUGCUGAUUUGUCUUUGCACUCAUCUUUAGUUGGGAUUAAUGGGUAAGUAUAAUACUAACUCUGUUAUUUUACAUGGUUGUUAUUGUGCAAACAAGAACAAUGAAUUUACUGGAAUAAUUGUUUGAAGGAAUUCUGGAAGUAAUCGAUAUGAAAAGAUUGAAAAUCUUAAUGCUAAUAUGGUCAUAGAGAAAUCGAAGCAUGGUAUCGCUUUUUACA